CUUUGUCUCCGCGGAGCGUCACAAAGCUGCCUGGCUGCCUGGAGGAACAAAGGAGGGCCGGGCAAGAACGCCAUUACCAACUGCAAAUCCACAGGCAAAUGCAAGAGGACAGAAAUCUUGUUAACUGAGUGCCAAUUACGCUCCAGGCGCUGCGAAUACGAGUGGGUCUCCACCACCAGAAUGGCUAAAGUGAAAAAGACCGCACCGUGUGGAGGCGAGAAAGUAGAGCGACUGGACCUCUCUUGUAUUUCUGGGGGAGUGUAAAUUGGUAGAGACAUUUUGGAAAACUGGCAGUUUUCUAAUGAAGCCGAACAUAUGCCACCUCUGUGAUCCAGCAGUUCCACUCCUAGGCUGUCAACACCCAGCAGAAAUGUGUAGGUGUGAGCAUCAAGAGGGUGCAUGGGAAUGUUCAGAGCCCUUUCAUAACAGCCCCAAACUGGAAAUAACCCAUCAACAGAAUGGAAAAUGAAUGAUGCCCUACUCACUACCAUGCACAUAGACACAGCAACGGGAUUGACAUGCCCGGCUACACACAGCAACAUAGACAAGUCGCAUGAUGAAAUCUUGAGUGACAGAAGCCAAAUGCAACAGUACAUACUAGAUGGUUCCAGGUGUAUUACGUUCAGAACCAGACAAAACUAAUUUAUAGUGCACCAAAGUCAAGAUAGUGAUCGCCCUUAGGGUUGGGAGGGGACGAGGGGAGAGCUUCUGGGAGCUGAUCCAGUUCUGUUGUGUAAUCUGGUGCUGGUUCCCUGGGCAUAUGUAUUCUGUGAAAAUCCAUCACAUGACUUAAAUAAAAUGUACAUUACUUAAAUAAA
rnacentral:lncRNA from 1 species